AUCGAACCAAACAAUGGACAAAGGUAAAAGGAAACGUUCAAAACAUUUCUGUGAAUUUGAAAAACAUUUAUUGUCAAACCACCCAAUUAUUGAGAAGAAACAGCAUGAUUCAUCAACAGAAAGCAAGAAAAGGAAUGCCUGGAGUAAAAUUUGCUCUCUGAAUUUGAAUUUAACUCAAAUGAAAAAGUAAGCCAAAGGACAGUCCUGCAACUUCAGAUCCUCUGGAAAAACAUAAAAAUUCAAUUAAAGAAGACAAAUGCUGCUGCUCGUAGGGAGCAUUUCAAGACUGGUGGUGGACUCCCGGAAAGACCAGAGGCCGAUGACAUGGGAGACUUGUUGAGUUCCCUCAUUGAUAGCCAGCAACCCCUGGAAGGUUUCCCAGAUGAUGACCAUAUGGACAGUUCAGAUGGGGCACCUGUCCAAUCUUCAUUUGAUGACCACGUAAGCUUGGAGGGCCCGAGAGAGGGUACAUGUCAGCCCACUACAUCUGAGGCAGCCGGGAGGGAAGAUGGUGUCGCUAAUCUGGGCCGAAAGACCAAGAGACAGACCAUACAUGAGAAACUGCCCAUGGACUAUCAUGAGCACAAAUUAAAGUAUUUAAAAGAAGAACAUGAAAUAAAUGAUGAAAAUCCUUCAUAUUGAGUUGGCUUGGAGGAGGAGGAGAGAAACAUGAAGCAGCAAAUGAUGUCCAGUUCUGGGUUCUGAAAUUUCCUUUGCUUAAAUGAAAAUAAUCUUGAAACCAAUACAGGGCAAUUGUCAUAAUUCAUUGUCUUUGUGAAAAAUGCUGCAAAGCAAAAACAUCUCUGCAGGCUGGUCCAUAUCUGUCUUUGUUGGCUUCAACAAUGGGAAUAUCUAGGUCACUGUCGUCUUUCAUUUCAGGAUCUGGCCAGCCAUGUUGUUUUAAUGUAAUUGUGAAGCACUGCUGCAGCAAUUAUCACAAUACAGCAUCUUCUUGAUUCAAAGCGCAGUGUGCAUCUGAGACAUUGAAAACGACUCUUCCAUACACCAAACAUGUGCUCCACUAUACCUCUAGUGCGGAGGUGUGCUUGGCUGUACCUCUGUUGCUCUGGUGUGACUGCAUGAAGAUAGGGGGUGAACAAGAAGUUCUGUGCAUACCCACUGCCACCAAGUAUGAUUCCACUAUGUUGUCCUUCUUCCAAAUGAGCAUACAAAGAGGAGUUUUGGAAAAUCCUUGACUCAUGAGUUGCACCUUUCCAGCGUGCAACAAUGUUGGAGAACUGCAUAGUUGGAGUGCACACACCUUGCACAUUUAUUGAGAACCAGUUUUUACGAUUCCUGUACUCUUCAGCAUCUGGUGUAGGGACGCUUUAUGGGAAUGACACCCAUCAAUGCAGCCAGUGACUCCAGGGAAAUUGCCA